rnacentral:rRNA from 1 species
AUUGAACGCUGGCGGCAGGCCUAACACAUGCAAGUCGAACGAGUGGCGGACGGGUGAGUAAUGUCUGGGAACCUGCCCGAUGGAGGGGGAUAACUACUGGAAACGGUAGCUAAUACCGCAUACCAUCGGAUGUGCCCAGAUGGGAUUAGCUAGUGGGUGGGGUAACGGCUCACCUAGGCGACGAUCCCUAGCUGGUCUGAGAGGAUGACCAGCCACACGGGAACGGAGACACGGUCCAGACUCCGAAGGGAGGAAGCAGUGGGGAAUAUUGCACAAUGGGCGCAAGCCUGAUGCAGCCAUGCCGCGUGGAUGAAGAAGGCCUUCGGGUUGUAAAGUACUUUCAGCGGGGAGGCGGUACCCGCAGAAGAAGCACCGGCUAACUCCGUGCCAGCAGCCGCGGUAAUAC